rnacentral:rRNA from 1 species
AUUGAACGCUGGCGGCAGGCCUAACACAUGCAAGUCGAGCGGUAGCACAGAGAGCUUGCUCUCGGGUGACGAGCGGCGGACGGGUGAGUAAUGUCUGGGAAACUGCCUGAUGGAGGGGGAUAACUACUGGAAACGGUAGCUAAUACCGCAUAACGUCGCAAGACCAAAGUGGGGGACCUUCGGGCCUCAUGCCAUCAGAUGUGCCCAGAUGGGAUUAGCUAGUAGGUGGGGUAAUGGCUCACCUAGGCGACGAUCCCUAGCUGGUCUGAGAGGAUGACCAGCCACACUGGAACUGAGACACGGUCCAGACUCCUACGGGAGGCAGCAGUGGGGAAUAUUGCACAAUGGGCGCAAGCCUGAUGCAGCCAUGCCGCGUGUGUGAAGAAGGCCUUCGGGUUGUAAAGCACUUUCAGCGGGGAGGAAGGCGAUAAGGUUAAUAACCUUGUCGAUUGACGUUACCCGCAGAAGAAGCACCGGCUAACUCCGUGCCAGCAGCCGCGGUAAUACGGAGGGUGCAAGCGUUAAUCGGAAUUACUGGGCGUAAAGCGCACGCAGGCGGUCUGUCAAGUCGGAUGUGAAAUCCCCGGGCUCAACCUGGGAACUGCAUUCGAAACUGGCAGGCUAGAGUCUUGUAGAGGGGGGUAGAAUUCCAGGUGUAGCGGUGAAAUGCGUAGAGAUCUGGAGGAAUACCGGUGGCGAAGGCGGCCCCCUGGACAAAGACUGACGCUCAGGUGCGAAAGCGUGGGGAGCAAACAGGAUUAGAUACCCUGGUAGUCCACGCCGUAAACGAUGUCGAUUUGGAGGUUGUGCCCUUGAGGCGUGGCUUCCGGAGCUAACGCGUUAAAUCGACCGCCUGGGGAGUACGGCCGCAAGGUUAAAACUCAAAUGAAUUGACGGGGGCCCGCACAAGCGGUGGAGCAUGUGGUUUAAUUCGAUGCAACGCGAAGAACCUUACCUGGUCUUGACAUCCACAGAACUUUCCAGAGAUGGAUUGGUGCCUUCGGGAACUGUGAGACAGGUGCUGCAUGGCUGUCGUCAGCUCGUGUUGUGAAAUGUUGGGUUAAGUCCCGCAACGAGCGCAACCCUUAUCCUUUGUUGCCAGCGGUUCGGCCGGGAACUCAAAGGAGACUGCCAGUGAUAAACUGGAGGAAGGUGGGGAUGACGUCAAGUCAUCAUGGCCCUUACGACCAGGGCUACACACGUGCUACAAUGGCAUAUACAAAGAGAAGCGACCUCGCGAGAGCAAGCGGACCUCAUAAAGUAUGUCGUAGUCCGGAUUGGAGUCUGCAACUCGACUCCAUGAAGUCGGAAUCGCUAGUAAUCGUAGAUCAGAAUGCUACGGUGAAUACGUUCCCGGGCCUUGUACACACCGCCCGUCACACCAUGGGAGUGGGUUGCAAAAGAAGUAGGUAGCUUAACCUUCGGGAGGGCGCUUACCACUUUGUGAUUCAUGACUGGGGUGA